AAUCUUUAACUCAACAGAGAAGCUCUCAUGUGCUGGUAUUACUAAUCACCUUUUUUUCGAUUUUCAGCGAUGAAGGUGGAGCUGCUUGAACGUGCGAGCUGUUCUUGUUUGCUGUGUCUCCUAUGAAGGGAUAAUGGACUCCGACUGCCUCUUCCUUGCUUUCAGGGAAGUCCUUGCCGUCCUUGAAGAUGAGAAACUCCAUCGCGUCGAUGUGGAAGAACACAAAGCACCCACAUAAGUGAGUGAUGCAAGACCCGAAAUCCUUCCCGACCACGCAGUGCCAUGAUGGACCGUAAGCUUCGUCAAAUUUCUGUCGCCAUUCAUGUGAUAAGUAAGCAAGACAGUGUUUGUCAAGUAAGAUCGCGAAUAGAACUAACGAAAAUUUCCCAGUUAGCUUAGGUAGUUCUUCUUUCUCGGGCUAAACAGGUGCUGCAGCAAAACUGGUACAGGUUAGAAGGACUGGAAUUCUGAAUAAGUGAAUUUUUUCACCUGUGAUUUGUUUGCGAAAAGCAGAAGCAGAGAGUAUUUAGCAAGUGGUUGAACCAGUAAUAAUGGUUACCCCU